AUUGAACGCUGGCGGCAGGCCUAACACAUGCAAGUCGAGCGAGCGGCGGACGGGUGAGUAAUGUAGGGGGACUGCCCGAUAGAGGUGGAUAACUACUGGAAACGGUGGCUAAUACCGCAUACUAUCGGAUAACCCAUAUGGGAUUAGCUAGGCGGUGGGGUAAAGGCUCACAUAGGCGACGAGCUCUAGCUGGUCUGAGAGGGUGAUCAGCCACACUGGGAGUGAGGCACGGCCCAGACUCCUACGGAGGCAGCAGUGGGGAAUAUUGGACAAUGGGCGCAAGCCUGAGGCAGCCAUGCAGCGUGGAUGAAGAAGGCCUUAGGGUUGUAAAGUACUUUCAGCGGGGAGGCGUUACCCGCAGAAGAAGCCCCGGCUAACUCCGUGCCAGCAGCCGCGGUAAUAC
rnacentral:rRNA from 1 species